CUUGUUGCAGUUAACUGACAGUUCCCCAGGAUGCCACAGCCUUGAAGGUUUUUAGCUCCUCGUCUGUCUUUGCAACACUACCCAUGUUCUAAAUCUUGAAGAUUUCAGUGUCCAUGAGAAAAUGACAUUAGAAAAAAUUGCCCAAGAAGGUGAGGGAGCUAGUUAUAUAAUUAUCUUAGGGAAAGUGUAAUGGGCUGAGGGAACAAGUGCAAAGACUGAAGCAGAGCAUGCUUGGUGUGCUGAAGAACCGCAAAAAGGCCAUUAUGGCUGGAGAAAAGCCAGGGACAAAGGAGGAGAUAAAGUCUGAAAACAGAGCUGGGUCAUAUAGGGCCUCUAUGCCAUUGGAAGGCAUACCAGAUCAUAAGAUUUUUCUAGCAGAUUUAUCCUUCACUGUAUUUCAGGCUCUCUGAUGAUCAUGUCCUAAACCUUGUCUGUAUCCAUAAUUAUAGGCCUAUCUUUUUUUUCUCGGUUUUAGUAUUCAUAUUCUCUGAAUUACCAUUUAUGGUCAUUCCAAUUUUACUCUCCCUGAUUUCAGUGAUUCUUCAACCCCACCAGGGCCUACAAUCCAUUGAUCUUUUAUCAUUUUUUAUUGACUCCGCCUCCCACCACUCCCUGUUCUUCCUUACUCCCUUAUCAAAAUUAUAUUCAUCAGCCCUUCAUCAGGAUCACCCUGUUGUAGUCACUCAUCCUUUGUCUCUCUCUCUCUCAUUUUGUGUACUCUCUUGACAAAAGUCUCAACCCCAGCUAAACCAGCUCUCCACACUUAAACGUUUUUUUCUCCCAUAUUAAACAAAUUGUUUAAAAUAAAAACUUUUGGCCUCCAUUAGAAAUGGUGGAGGCUGGGGCGCCUAGGUGGCUCAGUCAGUUGAGCGUCCAGCUUCAGCUCAGGUCAUGAUCUCACAGUUCGUGGGUUCGAGCUCUGCGUCAGGCUCUGUGCUGACAACUCAGAACCUGGAGCCUGCUUCGGAUUCUGUGUCUCCCUCUCUCUCUGCCCCUCCCGUGCUUGCGCUCUGUCUCUCUCACAAAAAUAAAUAAACAUUAAAAAAAAAAUUUUUUUUUUUUUUUGAAAGAAAUGGUGGUGGCUGGAGAGCUGGCUCCAGCUACCACCCAUUUCCUUUUUUCCUUUUUAAAGCAAAAUUCCUGUCAGAGCCAUAUAUUAUAACAAUGAUAACAAUAAAUAACAUUUAUUACGCACUUGCUGUGUGCCAGGCAUUGUUCCAGAUAUUUUACAUAUAUUAAUCUUGUUUUAUUCUCAUAGCAGUCCAAUGAGGUAAAAAAAAAAAAAAAAAAAUACCACUUUUUACAAUGAGAAAAAGGCAUGAAGAACUUAGUUUCCCAACUACUUGCUGACAAAUAGUGAUCCUGGAAUUAAAAUCCAGGCAGUCUGUCAUCAGAGCCUGUGCUCUCAACUAGACCAAAGCAAAGCAAAUUAUGUUCUAAAUCUCAGUUCUCAGACACAUUAGCAGCACACUCCAGUUUCCAAGAAUGAGUGUAUCCUACCCCAAUCCUCAUUCCUCCUGAGCAGUAUUGUAGUAAGUUCUGGCUGCAAAGCCACGAUAUAAUAAUGUGGAGUUUUCAUGUAACCAGAAGGUUCAAAGUGAUUACUUUUAGGCAAAGGACUCUCUCUUGCAACAUUUUGACUUUAGCCUUUUUUGGUUUCCUUGUGCUUUGCAUUUCUCUCUUGCCUCUCCUGUAAAUUCAUCGGUAAGAGGCUUAAGGCUGCCUCUCUGGUAGAAGCUCAUGCUCAUAGUAUGCCAAACAGGAACCAGAUGGGGAAAAGGAGUUAAAGGAGAGACUUUUCUGAUCCUGAUCUCUAGUUCAGGGGGGGAAAAAAAAAAGAAUACCUGAGCUGCAUCAGAUUAGUAAUAAACAAGAUUUCUUUGUCUGAAUUGCCCCCUUUUCAGUUGCUGCUUUGGAAUAUGUGGUGGCAGAUUUUAAUCCAAAAAAAAAAAAAAAUUAGGGACUUUGCACUAUUUGUCAAAGAGGAGGGGAAAAAAACCUAAUGACAUGAUUUUAAAUUCGUCAAUUGGAGUUGUUUUCUCUAGACCCUAAUCUAAUAUUCCCAGAGAACUUCUUACUCAAAGAACUUCCUAUGAUACAUUAUUAAUUUGUCAAUUCUUUCUUAAAUCGUCUUUGGGGAGAGAGCAAUUCAGUUAAACAUUUAGUAUAUUUUUUUAAAUAACUACUGACUUAGAAAAUUUUAGAAAGUAAAUCAUCAAAAUCAGUUUUAAGAAGAGGGAAACAUCAGAAUCACUCUAGAAUGCCUUUCUCAUUGGCAGAGGUCACAUGCCCCUUCCUAAACAAUUGCUGGCAAGGAGAAAGGGUUUCUAUGAUUGGCUUUUCCUUUUCUGGAAGGAAGGUUGUGGAGUCAGCCACCAUCCAAAAGAGGAUUUGUUUCUUAUUUGAUUUUCGUUUGGUUGGUUUUUUGGUUCCUUUUUGAAAGUUAUCCUCAUGUUAGAAAUAGUUUAAAAUUCCCACUCUAAAGAACAGGCAAGCUUUUCCCAGCCAUGUUGUUGCCCAUCCCAACCGUCCCCAUACCCAUUAUAUAUAGUAUGUAUAGUGUAUAUAAUUCUGCCUCUCUGUAACCAUGUUUUAAUUAUAUUCAAUUUGCAAAAAUGUUAAAAUUUUAUUCACAGUGAAAGGUCUAAUCUGUUGAAGGGAACUGAUGUUGAUGUGAAAUCACUAGAAGAGAAUAAAAAAAGAAUCGACCUACAAACGACCGUGGCAAAAUGAAGUUCUAAACAUUUCCCAAGUGAUUACUUUUUACUGUGGAAGUUUUAUUUCCCAGAAAGCAUAAAGCUGAAUAGUCUUGCCAAACCAGCUGAAGCUUAAUGAACAAACUCUAUUGGCCCUUUAAUAAUAAUAUCUGAACCGUUUAUCUCUUCAGUUCUAAAAAUGCAUAUAAGUUGGCAGAGAUUUGACUUAAGAGUUUUAAGUCCUAUAUAUAGCUUUUGGGUGACAUGAUCUCUUUUUCUAGACAUCUGUCUGCCUCAGGGCUUUGGUCUAAUUACUUUUAGUAAAUAAACUAUUUUCAUAUAAAUGGUUUAAAGAAGAGCAAUAUUACUAGGAUUAUGAAGACCAAGAGUAUAAUGUUACAGUCUAAAAACCCAAGGUUUUACUGUGAUACUAAAUGUUUAACUGAAUUGCUAUCUCCCCAAUUGUACCUGUGUUGGAUGUUGCCACUUUUCUAUUGCUGGAAAGGGCCUUUUACAAAAGCAUGUUCAACGUGAAUACUAAUCCUUAUAGCAAGUCCUUCAGGUUAAUGCCAAUAGUGUGCAUGAGGACAAAAUCGUAUUUAUACCAUGUAAUACUCCAGAGGGAUUAGGUACUGAGCAGCAGCUGUAGAGAAAAAGAUGAUAGGUCUGACAAGACAGAACAGGCUAGAGAGUCUGAUUUCUGAAAGUGGAGAUCAGAGAGUAGAACUAGCACUAGGAAGUAUUAGGAGAUUUCAGCUUAGAGCAGUUUCAGUCCAAACCCAGUGGGUAUGCUUAAAGAGCCAACCAGGAAAAAAAACGAAAACAAAACCAAAAAAUCUUUGCUUCCUUAUAUGGACUUACGGAGGUAUUCUGGGAAAAAAGCAUGUUGAAACUCCUUCAGGAAGGAAGAGGACUUCUGAUUCAAGAGUCAUUCUGUUUCUGUGCCUUUGCCACCAGUUUUCACACAACUGCUUUCUCUGAUACUACACUGUCAGAGACACCCAACUGAUAGUUGGCUUUUUCUUUUACUGAAUAAAUACAACUUUUUCCCCGACCAUAAGAAAGAAGAAAACUAUGAGAUAGAAGAUCUGUUUCCAUGGCUUUAAAAAAAAAAAAAAAAAAAAGGGUAGUAUUUCCCACUGUGUUCAAUUGAUGAUGGUGAAAGGAGGAGAAGGAGGAUGACAAUGAGAAAGGCAUUUUGAAGUUUAGUGGCUGUUAGGGGAAGGAAGUUGAGAAUAGUGGAAAGAAUACUAAACCAAGUAUCGUAACUUGAUUUUUAGGUCUGGGUUGUUCCCUACUUUAGCCAAACAUAAGACUCUGAAUUCAUAUUAGUUUUAGUUUCUCUAUCAAUAGAAGUAGACUAUAUGAUCUCUUGCCCUUCUACCUCUAAAAUUCUGUAAUUAUGACAGCAAGUAUCUACACUAAUGCCUGAGCAGUAUCGAGAAUAUGAAAAACAGUAUAUAGAGCGAGGUGUCCUUUUAUAAUUAAGUUUAUGCCUAGUUAUAAUUGGUUUAUGGAACAAAAUUUUUUCCCAGACCCACUGUACCUCAGAAAGGAUUGAACAGUUCAUUCUGGCAAAGAAAAGGCAAAACUGUUAGCACAUCAUACUGCCACAUGAAGGCUAACAAUUAGACACAAAGCCAGACAAAAUCGCAAGGAGAGCCAUAAAUAAAAGAGAGUCUUAAUGUGAUUUAAAUACCGUGACUGAGUUGCAUUCAGUGUUAGCCUGGUCACCAAGUCCAAUGCGACAUUAUCCUCUAUAGAGAUGUAUUCUAGCAAAAGACUUCUGCAUCCGCCAUCUGGCCCUUGACUCAGGGAGCACAUCUCACUGAAUGACACAUAACCCAGUGGGAUGCACCAAAUUUGCUUAAACAUGAGCACAUCCUCUUCUCAUAACAAAGGCUGGAUAUGACCCUAAUUUUAUAUUCUAUAAACUAUGUUGAGGAAAUUAUUAAAACAACAGUCUUCUGGGGAGGCCUGUAACCAUCUACUGAUCAUGUUUUCUUUGUCACAGCCACAGUUUCAAGAAAUACUGUAAAUUUCAGCUUAAAUUGAGAAGCAAAUUAGAUGUGCUUUAAAUUUAAAAAUUCGUUAUGAAUUUAGAAGUAAAAAAGUGAACUGUUUGUGACUAGAUGAUCUGACCUUACAAACACAAGAAUUUGAGCAGAGUUCCAAAAGUUAGAGUUUGUGUUCUCUGUGAACAGCCUUCAGGGAAUUGUGCCAGAGGAGCUCUACUUAAGAGAAAUUUCUCUGAGGUUCUGAUUUUUUUUUAGUUUAUACCUUAAACUGUGAUUUCAGACCUAUUCCAGAAUAAAGGCAAUCACAUCCAGUAUUUCCUGUCUCUAAGAUAGAGUCUACUGCACUGCUUGUAUUUUAUAUUACUUGAGAAUUAUUUUCCUUUAGAAGGAACAGUAUGAUUUGCCUAAAUGGACAGUAUUUUUUUUUCUUUUUAAGUAUAUCUUUGGCAUUCCUCAGAGUGUUAAAUAUUUUAUUGGCUAUUGGGAGGAAAGGAUUCUCUAUUAUGUAAAUGGCACCCCAAACCUACAGAUCCCAAGUUAAUACUGAAGACUUUUUGUUAGUCUCUGGUGCCCUUUCUGGUAAAGAUAAAUGCUAAAGAAGGGGCAGUAUGUGGAAAUAGGAAUAAAACUAAAAUGACCAUUUUUCUUCCAAGUUAUAUAACACUAUAAUGCUUUGUUGCAAUAAUAUGAGGAAACCUUAUGCAAGAACUGAGCUGUGAUUAAUAGAAGCAAAAAGAAGUAGAAACAUCAUUCCCUAAACACAGCAAACUCAAAUAGGAAGGAAAAUAGUCUUUUAAAUGAGAAGCAAAAAGUCGUAUGGAAGUGUUGAAUCAUUAUAUUGUACACCUGAAACUAAUAUUACACUGUCUAUUAACUAACUGGAACUUAAGUAAAAACUUUUUGAAAGUUCAAAGUGAUAUGAGAAGGAAAUGUUAAUGCUAAUGCCAAUAUCAUGUGAACUGUUAAUUAGAAAGUAAAGUGGAAAUGGAGCGUGUGACUAAUAAAGUAAAUACCAUGAAAUUCUGGGGAAAGCCUAGUUAAGCUGGACUUCUUCAGGGCUACAGCACUGAGGGGAUUUUCUCAUGUUUCACGAAUUGACCCAAAUUAUUAUGGAGUCAAAUGAUAGUGGAGUCCCUAUCAUGAAGGGUAGUGAAAUGAAUGAAGACUGAAAGAGAGCAUCAUAAUGCUGACGUUGUCAGAUGUCCAGUCACGUGGACUUGCGAACCUGGCAAAUUGCUGAAAUUAGUAUGGGGGAAGAAAUCUUAAGUUAUAAACUAAUUUAAAAAUGAGAGCAAUAAGCUAGGCAAUGGCAGUUUUAACAUAUUUUAAGAACUGAACCUAUUCAUCCAGUUUAGUACCAGGCCCUAAGCUUCUGCCUCGAGUGUAUGGCCCACCUGAAUAUUAAGGGCCAUUAUAUGGAAGAUGAUGACCAGCUGUUCUCUUUCUCCCCUGAGUUCCAAACAAUAAGAAAUGGGCAUAAGCUUUGGUGUGAAGGAUUUAGGCAAAGAAUGAGGAAGAAUAUUGUAAAUUGAAGUGCAUUACUGAGUGAAUUUCAUUCUAUGGAAGUCUUUUAAAAAGUCAUUACUGUCACUCAAAACACUUACAGUCUGUCUGUGACAUACAUAGGUAGCCCUACAGUAAGAGAUGUGAAUAAUUACACAACAAUUAGAACGUCUUUGAGCUGGAGAGUAAUCAGCCCAAACACCAAGUAAUGCAAGAGAGAAGCAUGAAAACACAUAACCACAAAAACGAGAGAGAGAGAGAGAGACAUGUAUAGAUCAACAUAAUGACAGCAUUUAGCUAAUUAAACUCUCUGGAAAUGUUCUGACUGCUUUUGGAAAGCAAAGAAGUCUUCAUUUUUAGCUUUGUCAGUUGACAUAAUUUUGAAUUGAGUCUGAUUCUCAUUGGCAUCUAUGAUCUAUGUAUACAGUUUCUGGAACAGCCUUUUCCUGGAGAAAAUUUUCAAACAAACAUUUGGCAUCAGUGGAAUAUUUUUUAUCACACCAUCAGUAUUUUUCAUUGUACAGCCUUUGACUUCCAGAAGAUUCAAGCUGUCUUAGAGUCUCUGAGAACCCUAGGGCAUUAGAUGAAUGCCAGGUAUGUUACACUGAGAGAUUAGAUCCCAGGGAACUGGAAUUCUGAGAACUAGGAUGCCUGACUGAGAUUGAACUAUCUAUGUAUCCUGGUAUAGAUACAGAAAGAUAUUAGUGGUAUUUUAGAUUAGAAUUUUUAGACUUCAUCCAAACAACCUGUUAAAAGCCACGUUCUCUUGUACCUGUGAAACCAUAGAUUCAGUGUAAGAAUAAUGCGUUCAAGAAGAUUUAGUCCGAUGCAGUGGUGUGCUAAUGUUUAAUUCCUGGUUUUCCGGGCAAGGAGUGUGUGGUUUUGGGGGGUGGAGGAUUGGAAGCAGAGGUGGUAAGCAGGUAUCUGAUUUGUAGCAUUGGCCAAUUUCUGUGAUACAAAUGCCCCCACCACGGCCAACUGCAAGCUACUAAAAUGACAUCAGUGAAAACAGAGUUGGGAAGAGGUUGCCUCUCGUUAUUCCUGCACAUGAGUGGUCCUACAUCAGGUAUACGUAAAACACCAAAGUUCAAAAAUCUCACUCUGUGUCAUUCAGUGGCAAUCAGCAUUGUCAUCAUGAAGUACAACUUCUCGCUUCCACCUUCUGGCAAAUGGUCUGAAAGCAUACCUUACAAACACGUGGCUUCUCCAUCUGAGAGCUGUGAUUUUUUUUUUUUUUAAUUUUUAUUUACUUUUGUGAGAAAGGGAGACACAGCAUGAGCAGGGGAGGGGCAGAGAGAGAGGGAGACACAGAAUCUGAAACAGGCUCCAGGCUCUGAGCUGUUAGCACAGAGCCCGAUGCAGGGCUCGAACCCACGGACCGUGAGAUCACGACCUGAGCCGAAGUCAGAUGCUUAACCGACUGAGCUGCCCAGGUGCCCCGAGAGCUGUGAUUUUUAAAUCCUACUAAAGACUUUAUUAUUUAACAUAAGACUCCCCUAUGAUACUGCUCUUUUUAGCAGUUCUAAUUGCUAUAAACAGCAAAUGAAAUGUUUAUAGGUCAACAGAACCAAUUCUUAGGAGCAGUAAGCACAACCUUCAGAAUAGAAAAAUAGUUUGGGAGGCAUGUUUUAUUUUGGAUUUUAGUAUUUUUGGUGUUAAAAAGACUGAUAACACACUGAGAAACAGUAAUUAUCAUUCAACAUGAGCCUGGCUGGAAACACAUUGCAUAGCAGUUCAAGAAUUUAUUUGCUUAUUUUUGGAAACAGUAGAACUAUUACAUUAACCUAUCAGUUUAUGGUCAUCUCCUCCUUUUUUCUUUUUUUAAGUGUCUCAAUUUUUUUUUUUUUAAUGUUUAUUUUGAGAGAGUGAGAGAGCAUAGGGGAGGGGUGGGGAGAGGAGAGUGAGAGAGAAUCUCAAGCAGGGUCCAUGGUGUCAGCGCAGAGCCCAGUGGAGGGCUUGAACUCAGGAAUGGUGAGAUCAUGACCCAAGCCAAAUUCAAGAAUUGGAGGCUUCAACCAACUGUGCUACCCAGGUGCCCCCUCCUCCUUUCUUCAUUCUCUGACCUACACAUAGUUUUGUAAACCCAAGAUACAUGUGUCUCAUCCCUUUUGUCUCUCUGUGAAAAUAAGAAUUGUAAAAUUGUAAUGGCAUUGCCCUCCCCUGUGCCAGAAUUCCCAGAUGCCUCGUGUUCCUGACCGAGUAAUUCAUUUACUUAUGAAUUCCUGCUCUUUGUAUUUAAAAGACAAAACCACUUGGCAAAAACCCUUCUGAACUUUCAGAGAGAAAGCAAAUGGAUUCUUAGGACACAGUCAUUCCAAUCAUGCCAUGGUUAAUAUUCAUUCUAAACUGUUGAUAACAUUUAGGAUAACACCUAUAUUGCUAUUUUCAGUGAACUUUCACAUGUAUGUCCUUCCCAUUACAUAAUACUGAGUAACAUUAUUGGUAACAUGAAAUGUCACUGUCCAGUCUUAGAGCCUCUGCCAAUAAUUAAUAUGUAUUUAUUCAAUAAGUAGGUGAUAGGUGCUUUCUGUGGUGAGCCAUUAUGGAGUCUGUCAAGAUGAAUUAAGACCAGUCCAUUAGUAUUUGACUUAAAUUGGGCAGGGGUUAGAAAUGCUUGCACGUAUUUAAACUAUAUGAAAUUCUUAUUUUCUGUCAUCACUGGGAGAGAAUUUAAGCUCAAAUAGGUCAUCACCAUGGCCCUAAUAAAAUUUUUGUUGUUGCUAGGUUGGUUGGUUUGGUUGUAUUUCUUUUUUUUUUUUUUUUUCGAUAAUUGUUUAAUAUAAACAAUAAUUCAAUCACAGUUGACAAACACAUGAAUAAGUCAGUGAACUGUAUGUGCCUGCCACACAUCUAAGGUCAUUCCCAAGAUAUACUUCUUCAGUGAAUUUUUCCCUGACAGUAACAGUUAAUGACAGUGUGACCCCAAUCAUCUUAAUUGCUGAGAGUUAGCACAGUUAUUCUGCAUUGCUAUUGGCUAAUGAAUCAGAUUCAUUGGCUGGUUCUGACAGGGCUGACAUAACAUGUCACUGACUAAGUGACAGUUCUAGAAGAGGACAGGAAGAAGUAUGAGGAGGGAAGCAAACGUUCGUCAGUACACUAAGACAAACUAGCACAACACCACAAUCUGUGCUGAAGCAGGAAAUGAAAAAACACACAGAGGGCCUCCUGAUCAUUUGCCUUAACAUCACAUUUUUAUUCUCUCAUAUUCAGAAGGAAAAAAAAUAGUGGUAGAAUGAUAUUUCUGAAUCUGUCAUUUAUAAAUUGUAGUUUGGGAGAAAUUGAAAUAAGUUACAUGGGGGUGAGGAAGAGACAAAUGAGAUCUUAAUAAUUAUUAAGUUGGAGUGGACCAGGGGGAAGCAUCAGAAGGUAAGUAGAAAUACAGAAGUAAAUUGGGUGUUUCCACCAAAUACCAAGCCAUAUAUCUAAGGAGAGACCAUCACUUCUUAUUCACGAUGUAAUUAAGUGGAACCAUGUGAAACUGCUGAUAGUCAACCAUCUUUGACCUACAAAAAUGGUCAUGGGUGUGGUUUGACCUAUAAACUAUUGGAAACAAGGUAUAUUUGUAAAAUAUAUUUUAAAAAGCACACUGAAUUAUCCCAUGGCUUGUUACAGAGAACAAGAGAAACAAUAAUCCAAAAAAAAAAAGUUAGUUUUUUAAAAACACUAUAGUCAACUCCUUAACGUCAAAUACCUAUGGGUUUUUAAUCCAAAAUACUCUAUAUGCUUGGGGAUGAUGUUUGCAAGGGUUUUUUUGGAAAGAAAAUAAGCUAGUUAAGAAGGCAUUUUCUAUUAGCUCCAAAGGAAUGUAACACCAGGCAGUGUUUUUCAUUUUUAAGGAUCUGAAGGACGCUAACUAUAGGAAAGAUCAAGAACAGUCACGUGCUGGUCCUCCACCACCCUAUAGCAAGCAGUCCAUGGAUGUCUGCAAGCAAGCAUUGGGGCCUGGCUGUGCCAUCCUUACCCUGGCCCACCCCUGGGCACAAGUGGGAUGUGGACUCUGAACAGAACCACCAGUGUAUUAUUUCUGCCACUUCUCAUCCAUCAUUUCUGGGUCAUUUGAGACCAGCUUUCUGUGUUUGCUAACAGAUCUUUUUAUAUAUAUAUAUACAUAUAUAUAUAUAUAGGAAUAUCAUAUAUAUAUACACACAUAUAUAUCAUCCAGCCUUAUAAAGGAGACUCUGCCAUUUGCAACGACACAGAUGAACCCGAAGAGGACGUUAUACCAAGUGAAAUAAGCCAGACACAGAAAAAUACUGCAUGAUCUUAGUUACAUGUGGAGCCUAGAAUAGUAGCCCCCCUGGUUACCACGUGGGGAAAAUAGGGAGAUGUUGGUUAAAGGAUAUAAAAUUGCAGUCUACAGGAUGAAUGAGGAAAGCUAAUGUACAACAUUAUGACUGUAGCUAGUAAUACUGUAUUGAAAACGAAAUCUAAGAAAAUAGAUUUCACAUGCUCUGACCACACACAACACACACACACAGGUAACUGUAGGAGGAGAUGGAUAUGUUAAUUUGCUUGACUCUAGUAUCCUAUCAUUACAUAUAUCAAAACACCAAGUUGUACAUCUUAAAUAUAUACAAUUAAAUGAUAAAACAGGAACAAUGUUUUUAGCCUUGAAACUGAAGUUUGAGCAGGGCUCGGUAGGGAAGCACUCUUCCUUCUCCCAGUUAGUGUUAACUAGGGCUGCUCAGUGUUGAAUCUACAGAAGGCUCAUUCAUUCAUGUGUCUGGUGGUUAAUACUAGCUGUCAGCUUUAGCUGGGCUGUUGCCUUGAACAUCAUCAUGUAGCCUCUCCAUAUGUUCUGGGCAUUUUUCCAAAAUGGUGGCUCUCACCAUUUAUCACUCACGCCAAGUUUAAUUGUCUCAAGAAAGAGCUGGGUGGAAACCAUCACCUUUUCUCCUUACUCUGCAGCUUAGCAAGUAGCCUUGAAAAUAACGACCCACAUUCUAGGUACCUCAGGGAGCAGAGUGGACUCCAUUCACAAAGAAUUGUCAUUACUUUAACUGUCUGGUGGCUCUGUGGGAAAACAAAUAGAAGCUUUACCUGUUCGUACCUCAGAAUUCCUCCAGUGCUACAGCUGCUGCACAGGUGGGGUUUGUUGAAAUAUUUACAGGGAAAUAUUUUAGUUGCUGCUGCAAGGGGUGAUAACAGGGCAAACAGUAUAUUGAUGAAAAAGCUUGGAAGAAAAGACUGAGAAAUACAGUGUCCAUAAAGGCUUUGAAAAGUUCUUGACAUGGACAUUUAGAAGGCCACACACAUGCACAGGGCUGUGUGCAUGCUUAGGAAGGCCCGAGAAGGCCCUAAGCUAUCCCCUCUGGCUGACCUUGAGGCUCUAUAAAAGCAGAAAGUGAAACCUAAGGCACAGUUGUAAACUGCCUGAUUGAGUACUGAAGGUAUGCCUCAACCCACACAUCAAGCCCCUUGGCAAAAGCCAGUAUUUUGUGGGUUCCAGGCAUUUAAGGAAAUCUCUGUGCAAUUAACUGAUCACUAAGCCAACUAAGAAAUUGCAGUGGUUUCACAUAGGAAGGGAUACAGCUUUACAGGAUUAGUUCGGAAAAGCCACUAAAUAACAGACCCUAAGAUGAGAGAAAGAAACCCAGAUUUGCCACAUAAUAAUAUAUCCAUUUCUCUAAAAACAGUGCAUGCUAUGAAACAAAGUAUGACUCCUCAAAAAAAAAAAAAAAAUAGCCAAUAGGAAGUGUCCAGGAAAAGCCCAGGUAUUGGACUUUGUAGACAAAAGUCUCAAAUCAGCUAUUUUUUUUUAAAUGUUUAUUCAUUUUUGAGAGGGAGAGCACAAGCAGGGGAGGGGCAGAGAGGGAGAGAGACACAGAAUCUGAAGCAGGCCCCAGGCUCCGAGCUGUCAGCACAGAGCCUGGUGUAGGGCUCGAACCCACGAGCCAUGAAAUCAUGACUUGAGCUGACUGCUAAGAUGCUCAACUGACUGGGCCACCCGGGCACCCCAUUUUUUUUAAUGUUUAUUUAAAAUUUUUGAGAGUGCCCAAGUGGGGUAUGGACAGAGAGAAUCCCAAGAAGGCUCCAUGCUGUCAGUGCAGAGCCCAACGCGGGACUCCAUCUCAUGAACUGUGAAAUGAUGACCUGAGCCAGUAUCAAGAGUAGGACACUUAAUCAACUGAGCCACCCAGACACCCCUCAAGUCAGCAAUAUUAAAAAUGUUCAAAGGAAGUCCCAUUUAAAGAACUAAAGUAUCAGAAUGAUGUCUCACAAAUAGAGACUAUUAAUACAUAGAAAUUAUAAGUAAAUGGAAAUUUUAAAGUUGGAGAGCAUAAUAAAAAUCCACUUGAAUGGCUCAACAGAUUUAAGCUAGAAGAAUGAAUCAGAAAGAUUCAAUAGAAAUCAGUAAUAGAAGGAAAGUUGGGAAAUUCACAAAUAUGUGGAAAUAAACACAUUUCUAAACCAAUUUACACAAAACUGUAAAGGAAAUUAUAAAA